AAAAGAUGUGCCCCACCUACAGGAGCUGGGACCACCAUGCCACCAGGGCAAGCGAUCCCCCAGAAGGCUCCCUGCAGGUCUCUAUUUCCACAGCACCUCUUGUUUCCCCAGCUCUAGUUCAGAAAUGUCACAGUCCACCCACUGUGCCAACUUCACAGCUGCCUUGACCAGGAAAGGUCUCCCAACAUGUACGCACAAGUGCCUAUGUUCACAGCCUAAGACUCUGUGCAUAAACAAGUCUUAGAACCUCGAGGCAAAAAUGAUGAUGAUGUUUAUCAAUCUGUUAACUGGCCUUCUUUUUGAAGACACAAGCCAACAUUUAAUUGUAUUUGUGUGCAUGCCAGAACCAUCUGGAUAUGAAGAGAGGAGGAAAGGGCAUGAACUAGGAGGGACAAACUGCCAGCAAAGGGAGUCAGAUAAUAUGAAGAGCAGGCCCCAGGACCCAAAAGGCUCCCUGAAAGGAUUAAAACCAUGCAUACCUUGAAUUGUCAAGUGCCCUCUGCUGAACUCUCCUUGUGCCUUGUUGAUGUGAAGGUUCCUCAAGGGGAGAGGGACCAAGUAGAGAUCUCCUGGAGAAGACUGCAGCCUCUGUGGCUCAAGGACCCUCUACCCCUGCCCCCGACCUCCAACCUAGCUCCUCAAACGCAAAAACUGCAUCAUGUUCAUCUCUACAGUCCCAGCACCUAACACAGGCCCCAGCAUACAGCAGGCACUCAUAAAACAUUGGGUAAGGCCAGUGCUCAGUGAGAUGAAGAACUGUGGCACCCUGAUCCCUAGGUGGGCGAGGCUGUGGAGUAGGGAUCUGAACCAAGGUGCUCAGUCUGUCUCUCAGAUCUGUGUGGCGUUUCAGAGCUGGCCCUGCUCUUCCCUAUGAUGCUCCAUCCUUCUUAUCCUCAACCUCAGUGGGCACCCAAACUUCAGCACAUGUUUUAUGGGUGCUGCCCCUCAUCCUGAAUGCCUUCCAAUGUUUCUGGGGGGAGACUGAGGACAGAGGCCCUCUGAGUCUUCC
ensembl:lncRNA